CUCCUGUUGUGGUUUUCAAAUGCGUUGCUGAUGGGAUUAGAGUGCAAAGGCCUCAGGUGACAGACUUCUUCUAAGGGCUUUUCUUAAACCUGUAUGCCCACUCGCUGACCAAACUUUUCUAGAAUGGGCCAGCAUUUUCCAAAUUCCUUCGCAUGAUAGGGUUGGGAGUUGGUAGACAUAUUGUGGAUAACCCAGCCAGGCUUUAUGAGAGCACAUCACUACUUGAACGCUAGGUGGAUGCCCUAUUCUUAAUUUCUUUUUUUCUGUUGGCUAGUUCCCACCCUGGAUUUCGAACAAGUUAUGGGUACCCAGCGAUAGCACCUGGAUGCCUUUGUGUGCUGUCCACACACCUACAGUUUGUGCAAGCUGAAUGCUGGUGACAGUGUUGGGAUGCCGUGUCUCCCUAUUGGGGUAAACUGAGACCUCGUUUAUAAGGAAGAAGAGUCAUCCCGGGUGACGGAGAGGAUUUUCUGUGAUUGGCAAACGUCAGAGAGCAGCAAAAAGAGAACUCCUUCCGGUCCCACGGAGAUUUCUGGUUCAGGGGAAGUGGGGCCUCAGUGGACGGUGCUGCUGCUGAUACUAGAACUACAGGAAAGCACAAGCAAAAAAGUUUUGGGCCUGAAUCCAAAGCCAUUUUAUGGAAUAUCAAGAAGACAGGAAUGCAGUGAAUAUAUGUUCGUACGAGCCAAUGUCUCAGAUUUCUAUUUGGACCUGACUCAGAAGGAAAAAUGUCAGACAUGGGAAGAUUGAUGAGACUAGGUCUCUUGAAGCCUUUGUGUUCCUCAGGGAAUUCAUGAAUACUCAGAGGCGUGUUCAGA